rnacentral:lncRNA from 1 species
GCCUUAUACCUACAUCCCCAUCUUCGGACGGAAGAGGUCAAGCGCCCCACCCCAGAUUUGGCGGGGGAGUUUCCUCGCUCCCCCUCUCUCUACUCGUCUCACAGCUGCUGCUCCUUUGGAGUCACCCCUGACUUUGUAAUCUUAGCCCGAGACAGAAGGGACCCGUUUUCCUGCUCGAAUUUCAGGUGUCGCUGCCUGCCUCCGUGGCUUGGGAGAGGACUGGAUGGGUCUUUAAUUGUUGCAGAGGGUCGUUGGCCCGCAGGUGACUGGCUCUGCCUUUUGCUCCGCCACUGCCAGAUGCCUCCCCUGGAGUGGGUGCGCGGGCGCCACCCGGACCCCGUGCCCUGUGGCCCGGAGGUGCAGCCGAGGCUUUGGCGCGCUCAGCUCCGCAUCCCACGGGCCGGGGCUGGCGCUUCACGCGGUGGCCGCAGCCUUCCCGCCCGCCAGGCGCAUGGACAGCAGCUCGGCUCCAGUCGGCGCCCCGAAGCCUCCGCCGAACGCAGCACCGACGGACAGAUGGAUGGGCGGACGGACCGACGUACGGUGGGCUGCCGGGAGGAGGAGCAGGGGGAGGAGGAGGUCCGCGGGUACAAGUGGGCUGGCCCCUUGCGCCCCUUCGCGGCUGCUCUCCGACUCAAUCCCCGGGCGCGUUCCCUGCGGCGAACCUUGGGACAGUCGCUUAGCCCCGCCCCCCCACCCCCUACACCUCAAGGCGUGUCCAGUGCCCUCCCGGUCACCUCUCGCCUUAGUCCCCACGCCCUCCUUUUUUAA